rnacentral:rRNA from 1 species
CGUAGGGUGCGAGCGUUAAUCGGAAUUACUGGGCGUAAAGCGUGCGCAGGCGGUUUUGUAAGACAGGCGUGAAAUCCCCGGGCUCAACCUGGGAACUGCGCUUGUGACUGCAAGGCUAGAGUACGGCAGAGGGGGUGGAAUUCCACGUGUAGCAGUGAAAUGCGUAGAGAUGUGGAGGAACACCAAUGGCGAAGGCAGCCCCCUGGGUCGAUACUGACGCUCAUGCACGAAAGCGUGGGUAGCAAACAGGAUUAGAUACCCUGGUAGUCCACGCCCUAAACGAUGUCAACUAGGUGUUGGGUGGGUAAACCAUUUAGUACCGGAGCUAACGCGUGAAGUUGACCGCCUGGGGAGUACGGCCGCAAGGUU